rnacentral:rRNA from 1 species
AUUGAACGCUGGCGGCAUGCCUUACACAUGCAAGUCGAACGGCAGCACGGGUGCUUGCACCUGGUGGCGAGUGGCGAACGGGUGAGUAAUACAUCGGAACGUACCUUAUCGUGGGGGAUAACGCAGCGAAAGCUGUGCUAAUAUCGCAUACGCCCUGAGGGGGAAAGCGGGGGAUCGCAAGACCUCGCGCGAUUAGAGCGGCCGAUGCCUGAUUAGCUUGUUGGUGGGGUAAAAGCCCACCAAGGCGACGAUCAGUAGCUGGUCUGAGAGGACGAUCAGCCACACUGGGACUGAGACACGGCCCAAACUCCUACGGGAGGCAGCAGUGGGGAAUUUUGGACAAUGGGGGCAACCCUGAUCCAGCAAUGCCGCGUGAGUGAAGAAGGCCUUCGGGUUGUAAAGCUCUUUUGUCAGGGAAGAAACACCGGCUCUAACACAGUCCGGGAAUGACGGUACCUGAAGAAUAAGCACCGGCUAACUACGUGCCAGCCGCCGCCGUAA